GUGAAUCAUCAAAUUUUUGAACGCAAAUUGCACUCUCUUCGGAGAGUAUGCCUGUUUGAGGGUCAGCCUAUAAAAAAUCGACAUAGUCGCUGUUUCGCGGUGACAUUCGCCGGAAAUUGGGUCAUCUUAAACCUUUUUGUUUUUAACAGCUUAAAAUUUUCUUUACUGGUCUACUAACGGUUUUAAGAUUUACUUGCACGAUUAGUUUAUCGAUAUUUAUUUUACGUGGACGUUGCAUUCA
rnacentral:misc_RNA from 1 species